rnacentral:rRNA from 1 species
AAUGAACCGGCGAGUUACGAUUUGAUGCAAGGUUAAGCAGUAAAUGUGGAGCCGUAGCGAAAGCGAGUCUGAAUAGGGCGUUUAGUAUUUGGUCGUAGACCCGAAACCAGGUGAUCUACCCUUGGUCAGGUUGAAGUUCAGGUAACACUGAAUGGAGGACCGAACCGACUUACGUUGAAAAGUGAGCGGAUGAACUGAGGGUAGCGGAGAAAUUCCAAUCGAACCUGGAGAUAGCUGGU